rnacentral:rRNA from 1 species
AACAAACGCUGGCGGCGUGCCUAAUACAUGCAAGUCGAACGGGGAAAGCUUUCGGGUGAGUACUAGUGGCGCACGGGUGAGUAACGCGUGGAUAAUCUGCCUUAGAGUGGGGGAUAACUAGUCGAAAGAUUAGCUAAUACCGCAUAAGACCACAAGAACUGCGGUUCAAGGGGUCAAAGGUUUUUCGCUCUAAGAUGAGUCCGCGUAAGAUUAGCUAGUUGGUAGGGUAACGGCCUACCAAGGCGACGAUCUUUAACUGGUCUGAGAGGAUGAUCAGUCACACUAGAACUGAGACACGGGCCAGACUCCUACGGGAGGCAGCAGUAGGGAAUAUUGCACAAUGGAGGAAACUCUGAUGCAGCGACGCCGCGUGAGUGAUGAAGGCCUUCGGGUCGUAAAGCUCUGUCGCAGGGGAAUAACACAAUGAAGGUACCCUGUAAGAAAGGAUCGGCUAACUUCGUGCCAGCCGCCGCGGUAACAC